AGUGAACGCUGGCGGUAGGCCUAACACAUGCAAGUCGAACGGCAGCACAGUGAUAGCUUGCUCUUACGGGUGGCGAGUGGCGGACGGGUGAGGAAUACAUCGGAAUCUACUUUUUCGUGGGGGAUAACGUAGGGAAACUUACGCUAAUACCGCAUACGACCUACGGGUGAAAGCAGGGGAUCUUCGGACCUUGCGCGAUUGAAUGAGCCGAGGUCGGAUUAGCUAGUUGGCGGGGUAAAGGCCCACCAAGGCGACGAUCCGUAGCUGGUCUGAGAGGAUGAUCAGCCACACUGGAACUGAGACACGGUCCAGACUCCUACGGGAGGCAGCAGUGGGGAAUAUUGGACAAUGGGCGAAAGCCUGAUCCAGCCAUACCGCGUGGGUGAAGAAGGUCUUCGGGUUGUAAAGCCCUUUUGUUGGGAAAGAAAAGCAGCAGGUUAAUACCCCGCUGUUCUGACGGUACCCAAAGAAUAAGCACCGGCUAACUUCGUG
rnacentral:rRNA from 1 species